ACCUGACACGAUGUUAGGCCUGUGAACCCGCUGAAUUUAAGCAUAUUAGUAGGCGGCGGAAGAUAACCCAAAAGGGAUUCCUUCAGUAAUGGCGAAUGAACGGGGAAAAGCUCAGCAAAGAAAUCAGGGACCCCGGCCUUGAGUUGUGGACUUGAGAGUUAUUGCCAACGGUGGCGCAGGUGCGGGCCUCUUGGAAAAGGGCACCACAGAGGGUGUGAGUCCUGUUUGUCAUCUGUAGUCCGCCAUGUACGGCAUGACUCCUCAGAGUCACGUUCCUUGGAAUUGGAGCGCGAAGGUGGUGGUGGCUUUCAUCUCAAGCUAAGUAUGGGUUCGAGACCGAUAGCAAACAAGUACCAUGAGGGAAGAUUGAAAAGAGCUUUGGAAAGAGAGUUAAAAGUGCCCGAACUUGCUGAUAGGGAAGCGAAGGGAGCUGACGUUGCUUGGUGACAUAUUCCGCGCAAGAGUAGGAUGGGUUCUGAUUGCAAUAUGCGUAGUGCUUCUUGCCGUGCGUGUCGAUGCCAAGCAAUGAGUGGGGAGAGCACCAGGGAUAAUGAUUGUUUCUGUCCCCGGGUGGACGAAGGUGCCUGGUAGCAUCCAUUUGUGGGCUGAAACAAGUGGUGGCUGGUUGCAGUGCCCUGUGCCUGCUAGGCAGUUGGGGUGUAGCCCUGAUACGCAGACGAGGACAAAGUGCUUCUGUUCGACCCGCUUA
rnacentral:rRNA from 1 species